rnacentral:rRNA from 1 species
CCCCAGACUCCUACGGGAGGCAGCAGUGAGGAAUAUUGGUCAAUGGCCGAGAGGCUGAACCAGCCAAGCCGCGUGAAGGAAUAAGGCCCUACGGGUCGUAAACUUCUUUAGUCAGGGAACAAAGGGAGCCACGCGUGGCGCUGUGAGUGUACCUGAAGAAAAAGCAUCGGCUAACUCCGUGCCAGCAGCCGCGGUAAUACGGAGGAUGCGAGCGUUAUCCGGAUUUAUUGGGUUUAAAGGGUGCGUAGGCGGAAUGCCAAGUCAGCGGUAAAAUCGCGGGGCUCAACCUCGCUCCGCCGUUGAAACUGGCGUUCUUGAGUGGGCGAGAAGUAUGCGGAAUGCGUGGUGUAGCGGUGAAAUGCAUAGAUAUCACGCAGAACUCCGAUUGCGAAGGCAGCAUACCGGCGCCCAACUGACGCUGAAGCACGAAAGCGUGGGUAUCGAACAGGAUUAGAUACCCCAGUAU